GCCCCCGUUGUCUAAUGGUUAUGACGUCAGACUUCUACCAUUGUUUAUAUCUGGAUCUGGAGGUUGCGGGUUCGAGUCCCGCCGGGGGUU